UACGAAGGGUGCAAACGUUGCUCGGAAUUAUUGGGCGUAAAGCGCACGUAGGCGGCCUAAAAAGUCGGAUGUGAAAGCCUUCGGCUUAACCGAAGAAGUGCAUUCGAAACUGUUAGGCUUGAGUACUUAAGAGGAUCGCGGAAUUCCCGGUGUAGAGGUGAAAUUCGUAGAUAUCGGGAGGAACACCAGUGGCGAAGGCGGCGAUCUGGGAAGAUACUGACGCUGAGGUGCGAAAGCGUGGGGAGCAAACAGG
rnacentral:rRNA from 1 species